rnacentral:rRNA from 1 species
AUUGAACGCUGGCGGCAGGCCUAACACAUGCAAGUCGAGCGAGCGGCGGAAGGGGGAGUAAUGUAUGGGGACUGCACGAGAGAGGGGGAUAACUACUGGAAACGGUAGCUAAUACAGCAUACGAUCGGAUAACCCAUAUGGGAUUAGAUAGUAGGUGAGGGAAUGGCUCACCUAGGCGACGAUCCCUAGCUGGUCUGAGAGGAUGAUCAGCCACACUGGGACUGAGACACUGCCCAGACUCCUACGGAGGCAGCAGUUGGUAAUAUUGCACAAUGGGCGCAAGCCUGAUGCAGCCAUGCCGCGUGUAUGAAGAAGGCCCUAGGUUUGUAAAGUACUUUCAGUCGGGAGGCGUUACCCACAGAAGAAGCACCGGCUAACUCCGUGCCAGCAGCCGCGGUAAUAC